rnacentral:rRNA from 1 species
CCUACGUGAGGCAGCAGUGAGGAAUAUUGGUCAAUGGCCGGAAGGCUGAACCAGCCAUGCCGCGUGAAGGUCAGUGCCCUAUGGGCGUUAAACUUCUUUUGUGCGGGAGCAAUAAUGGUCACGUGUGGCCAGACGAGAGUACCGUACGAAUAAGCAUCGGCUAACUCCGUGCCAGCAGCCGCGGUAAUACGGGGGAUGCAAGCGUUAUCCGGAUUUAUUGGGUUUAAAGGGUGCGUAGGCUGUGAGGUAAGUCAGCGGUGAAAUGCCCCCGCUCAACGGGGUGAAGUGCCAUUGAGACUGCCUUGCUGGAAUGCGGAUGCCGGGGGAGGAAUGUGUGGGGUAGCGGUGAAAUGCAUAGAUAUCACACAGAACACCGAUUGCGAAGGCAUCUCACGAAUCCGCGAUUGACGUUGAUGCACGAAAGCGUGGGUAUCAAACAGGAUUAGAUACCCCAGUAGUC